AUACGUAGGGGGCUAGCGUUAUCCGGAAUUACUGGGCGUAAAGAGUGCGUAGGUGGUUUCUUAAGUCAGAAGUGAAAGGCUACGGCUCAACCGUAGUAAGCUUUUGAAACUAAGAGACUUGAGUGCAGGAGAGGAGAGUAGAAUUCCUAGUGUAGCGGUGAAAUGCGUAGAUAUUAGGAGGAAUACCAGUUGCGAAGGCGGCUCUCUGGACUGUAACUGACACUGAGGCACGAAAGCGUGGGGAGCAAACAGGAUUAGAUACCCUGGUAGUCCACGCCGUAAACGAUGAGUACUAGCUGUCGGGGGUUACCCCCCUCGGUGGCGCAGCUAACGCAUUAAGUACUCCGCCUGGGAAGUACGCUCGCAAGAGUGAAACUCAAAUGAAUUGGCGGGG
rnacentral:rRNA from 1 species